rnacentral:rRNA from 1 species
AUUGAACGCUGGCGGCAGGCCUAACACAUGCAAGUCGAACGAGUGGCGGACGGGUGAGUAAUGUAUGGGGAACUGCCUGAUGGAGGGGGAUAACUACUGGAAACGGUGGCUAAUACCGCAUACUAUCGGAUGAACCCAGAUGGGAUUAGCUAGUGGGUGGGGUAACGGCUCACCUAGGCGACGAUCGCUAGCUGGUCUGAGAGGAUGAUCAGCCACACUGUGACUGAGACACGGCCCAGACUCCUACGGGAGGCAGCAGUGGGGAAUAUUGCACAAUGGGCGCAAGCCUGAUGCAGCCAUGCCGCGUGUAUGAAGAAGGCCUUAGGGUUGUAAAGUACUUUCAGCGGGGAGGCGUUACCCGCAGAAGAAGCACCGGCUAACUCCGUGCCAGCAGCCGCGGUAAUAC